UACGUAGGGCGCGAGCGUUGUCCGGAAUUAUUGGGCGUAAAGAGCUCGUAGGCGGCCUGUUGCGUCCGCUGUGAAAUCCCGGGGCUCAACCCUGGGCGUGCAGUGGAUACGGGCAGGCUGGAGGCAGGCAGGGGAGAACGGAAUUCCCGGUGUAGCGGUGAAAUGCGCAGAUAUCGGGAGGAACACCGGUGGCGAAGGCGGUUCUCUGGGCCGAUACUGACGCUGAGGAGCGAAAGCGUGGGGAGCGAACAGG
rnacentral:rRNA from 1 species